GGCCAUAGCUCAGUGGUAGAACAUCUGCUUUGCAUCCAGAAAGCCCUGGGUUCAAUAUCAGGCAUCUCCAGUUUGGGCCA